rnacentral:tRNA from 1 species
GCCACCUUAGCUCAGUUGGUAGAGCACGUCACUCGUAAUGACGAGGUCGUCGGUUCAAUUCCGACAGGUGGCU